GGAGAGGUGCUGGAGUGGCUGAACAGGGCAGCCUGCUAAGCUGUUGUACGGGUUAAACCGUACCGAGGGUUCGAAUCCCUCCCUCUCCGCCA
rnacentral:tRNA from 1 species